UUCGAAACUGAUUUUACAUCGAAACCAGUUAAAUUGUCAGAAAAAUCAACUGUCAACAUGUCAAAAAAUCGUUGACUAUGCAAAUGCACAACAUGGCUCGGAAAGUGGAAAAGCGGGUAGAAGAGGACUGGAAAGGUUGGAAAAUGCGUUACAUGACGAACAUGUGCGUGCAUAUAUCUCCUAGAUACGGAUCUAAAAUAGGGACAGAUAAAAUGUGAUUUCCCGAAAUGAAAUGUAUUUUCUCCGAUCCAAUUCGAUGGCACAUGCAUGCAUGCGGUGGCUUUGUUGCAGUUCCAUGGAGCAUGGCCCACACUUCAUCGCAUUCAUUUCGAUGUCAGAGCUCUCUAAUUGGCUGCCAUGACUACCUGGCUGGCUGGCUGGCCACUCAAAUUACCUAAUUAUAAAGCGAAAUAUGAAAUGUUCCCAAUCAACCAUUGUUCGACCACAAAAGCGGAAUCCCAGCUCAUGCAACUGUCAAGACAAUGGGACGUACUAUAGAUAGGGAUACACUCGCCAAGUCUCAAAACCCAUCCAACUUAUUCAAAUUGUGUGUGAGUGCGAGCUGUCAACAGUGUUUAAUUUCGGGGGUUCCCGUGCCACAUGCGAUGGAGUCCAGUUCCAAGACGGGGAAUCGACCUGGCCGAAACCGCAAUGCACUUUGACUAGCCGGAUUCACCAUAUUACCAUCCCUCGGAUCGGAUCCUGGUUAGCAACUCAACAAGCUAACAAAUUAACAUGCCGUCCAGCGAUGUACUGUCCUUUUGUUUUGGUCUUCGGCCAAACUUCUCGUCCCGUCGCCAGAAAUGUCACGCAAGGGGUCAAGUAACAAGCAAACAGAGUGACCAGGAUCCAGUAACCAGUAACGGUGCGAUGUCCUGCGGCGAUGUCCUUUUUGUCUGCAUGCAAAUGCAAGUGCAUAUGCACGAUGCGAUUGCUGUGCCUGCGGCUGCUUAAUGGCCACACCUGUUCAAUUAGUCAAUGUAACCACAAAUUCUGGUUAAAUUAUCGCAUUAAAAUGUUCGUGCCUGACCUCAGAAUGUGCGUGCGUGUU
ensembl:ncRNA lncRNA:CR44939 long non-coding RNA:CR44939